rnacentral:rRNA from 1 species
CGGAUUAGGCAUGCAAGUCGAGCGAGAAGUCCUUCGGGACGGACAGCGGCGAAAGGGAGAGGAACACGUGGAUUAUCUACCCUCCGGCCUGGGAUAGCUACGGGAAACUGUAGGUAAUACCAGAUGACGUCUUCGGACCAAAGGUGUGAUUCCACCGGGGGAUGAGUUCGCGUCCUAUUAGCUUGUUGGUGGGGUAACGGCCCACCAAGGCCAUGAUGGGUACCGGGUGUGAGAGCAUGGCCCGGCUCACUGGGACUGAGACACUGCCCAGACACCUACGGGUGGCUGCAGUCGAGGAUCUUCGGCAAUGGGCGAAAGCCUGACCGAGCGACGCCGCGUGCGGGAUGAAGGCCUUCGGGUUGUAAACCGCUGUCAGAGGGGAGGAAAUACUAGGGGGUUCUCCCCCUAGUUUGACCUAUCCUCAGAGGAAGUACGGGCUAAGUUCGUGCCAGCAGCCGCGGUAAUA